GAUGAACGCUAGCGGUGCGCCUAACACAUGCAAGUCGAGCGAUAUAGUGGCGAACGGGUGAGUAAUACGUUGGAACCUGCCCCGAACUCAGGGAUAGCCAUCCGAAAGGGUGAUUAAUACCGGAUAGUCCCGAAAGGGUAAAGAUUUUUCGGUUCGGGAGGGGCCUGCGGCCUAUCAGCUUGUUGGUAGUGUAAUAGACUACCAAGGCUAUGACGGGUAACUGGUGUGAGAGCAUGACCAGUCACAAUGGAACUGAGACACGGUCCAUACUCCUACGGGAGGCAGCAGUGAGGAAUCUUCCGCAAUGGGCGAAAGCCUGACGGAGCGACACCGCGUGAAGGAUGAAGGCCUUUUGGUUGUAAACUUCUUUUCUGGGGGAAUAAAUGA
rnacentral:rRNA from 1 species